GCCACUGUAGCUCAACGGCAGAGCGUACGCUUCGUAAGCGUGAAGUUGUGGGUUCAAAUCCCACCAGUGGCUCAA
rnacentral:tRNA from 1 species